GACGAACGCUGGCGGCGUGCUUAACACAUGCAAGUCGAACGGAAAGGCCUCUUUCGGGGGGUACUCGAGUGGCGAACGGGUGAGUAACACGUGAGUAACCUGCCCUUGACUUUGGGAUAACUUCAGGAAACUGGGGCUAAUACCGGAUAGGAGCUCCUGCUGCAUGGUGGGGGUUGGAAAGUUUCGGCGGUUGGGGAUGGACUCGCGGCUUAUCAGCUUGUUGGUGGGGUAGUGGCUUACCAAGGCUUUGACGGGUAGCCGGCCUGAGAGGGUGACCGGCCGCAUUGGGACUGAGAUACGGCCCAGACUCCUACGGGAGGCAGCAGUGGGGAAUAUUGCACAAUGGGUGGAAGCCUGAUGCAGCAACGCCGUGUGCGGGAUGACGGCCUUCGGGUUGUAAACCGCUUUCGCUCAUGACGAAGCUUUGUGUGACGGUAGUGGGUAAAGAAGCACCGGCUAACUACGUG
rnacentral:rRNA from 1 species